CCUACGGGGGGCAGCAGUGGGGAAUAUUGCUCAAUGGGGGAAACCCUGAAGCAGCAACGCCGCGUGGAGGAUGAAGGUUUUCGGAUUGUAAACUCCUUUUAUUAGAGAAGAUAAUGACGUUGUCUAACGAAUAAGCACCGGCUAACUCCGUUCCAGAGGCAGAGGUAAUACGGAGGGGGCAGGCGUUACUCGGAAUCACUGGGCGGAAAGAGCGCGUAGGCGGGAUAGCAAGUCAGAUGUGAAAUCCCAUGGCUUAACCAUAGAACUGCAUUUGAAACUGUUAUUCUAGAGUAUGGGAGAGGUAGGUGGAAUUCUUGGUGUAGGGGUAAAAUCCGUAGAGAUCAAGAGGAAUACUCAUUGCGAAGGCGACCUGCUAGAACAUAACUGACGCUGAUGCGCGAAAGCGUGGGGAGCAAACAGGAUUAGAUACCCGUGUAGUC
rnacentral:rRNA from 1 species